ensembl:lincRNA C230035I16Rik RIKEN cDNA C230035I16 gene
CCCGGGGUUACUUGCGCCCUCUAUAAAUGAAAGACGGUACCGCCAGUUCUGGGAAUCGCACAGGGGUGCGUACAAAUGGACCAGGACGCGGAGAGCACGGAAACAACGGUGCUGGGACCUUGUGCACAGAAUCCAGAUGCCAGAUGGGAAUUAAACAUUCGGCCGAGAAAAGCAAUCUAGUUCCCUGGGCUCGACUUUGACUCACUCCUUGGUCUGCACCAAUCCUCACAUCCCUCAGGUCCUCUAACUUUUACGACAGUAUCCAGAAAUCGAUUCUUUGGUCUCUACGGCUCCAGAAGGCUCGCUCAUCAAGAAACGUUCCAUUACCUUUGGUUAGAAGUGGAUACAUAUAUGAUUUUGGCCUAAAAAAAUAUUUGCAAAAAGGGAGAAUGCAAACUUGUCCUUUUCCUUUUGGAUUUACGGAGUGCCAGUAUCAGAGUCUAUUGAGGAGGAAUCUCUGAAAAUGACAGCUGAUGGGUGUAGAGACCCACGCCCGGAAUCUCAGCAACUGAAGUGGUUGAAGCAGGAGCAUCUGGGCAGAGCUUGAACCAGGAAGCUGAGCGGCACCAUAGGUGUUGCUAACCAAGCAUAGCAGCAUAAUAAAAAUGGAGUGAUUAAAUGUA